UGGGGUGUGGCUCAGUGGUAGAGUGCUUAUUUAGCACAUGUGAAGCUCUGGGCUCAAUCCUCAGCACCACAU
rnacentral:tRNA from 1 species